CGCGGUAUUAUGACCGUGCGAAGGUAGCAUAAUCAUUAGUCUUUUAAUUGAGGGCUGGUAUGAAGGGUCGGACGAGAAAUGAGCUGUCUUAAAUUUUGAAAAUUGAAUUUAACUUUUAAGUGAGAAGGCUUAAAUAGGUUAGGGGGACGAUAAGACCCUAUAAAGUUUGACACUAAAUUAAUUAGGGGUGAUUUAGACAGUAAAGUCUUAUUAUUAUAUAAGUGUUUAGUUGGGGCGACUAGGAUAUAAGUUAUUUAACUGUUUCUUCAUUCGAAUCAAAAAUUUUUGAUUUUAUGGUCCUUUUUUAGGAUAUUAGAGUAAAUUACUUUAGGGAUAACAGCGUAAUUUUUUUUGAGAGUUCUUAUCGAUAAGAGAGUUUGCGACCUCGAUGUUGAAUUAAAAUUUCUUUGUAAUGCAGCAGUUACAAGAGAGGGUC
rnacentral:rRNA from 1 species